GAUGAACGCUGGCGGCGUGCCUAAUACAUGCAAGUCGAGCGAACAGACGAGGAGCUUGCUCCUCUGACGUUAGCGGCGGACGGGUGAGUAACACGUGUAUAACCUACCUAUAAGACUGGGAUCACUUCGGGAAACCGGAGCUAACACCGGAUAAUAUAUUGAACCGCAUGGUUCAUUAGAGAAAGACGGUUUUGCUGUCACUAAUAGAUGGUUCCGCGCCGCAUUAGCUAGUUGGUAAGGUAACGGCUUACCAAGGCGACGAUGGGUAGCCGACCUGAGAGGGUGAUCGGCCACACUGGAACUGAGACACGGUCCAGACUCCUACGGGAGGCAGCAGUAGGGAAUCUUCCGCAAUGGGCGAAAGCCUGACGGAGCAACGCCGCGUGAGUGAUGAAGGUCUUCGGAUCGUAAAGCUCUGUUAUUAGGGAAGAACAAAUGUGUAAGUAACUAUGCACGUCUUGACGGUACCUAAUCAGAAAGCCACGGCUAACUACGUG
rnacentral:rRNA from 1 species